rnacentral:rRNA from 1 species
AUUGAACGCUGGCGGCAGGCCUAACACAUGCAAGUCGAACGAGUGGCGGACGGGUGAGUAAUGUCUGGGACACUGCCCGAUGGCGGGGGAUAAUUACUGGAAACGGUAGCUAAUACCGCAUACCAUCGGAUGUGCCCAGAUGGGAUUAGCUAGUAGGGGGGGUAACGGCUCACCUAGGCGACGAUCCCUAGCUGAUCUGAGAGGAUGACCAGCCACACUGGAACUGAGACACGGUCCAGACUCCUACGGGAGGCAGCAGUGGGGAAUAUUGCACAAUGGGCGAAAGCCUGAAGCAGCAAUGCCGCGUGUAUGAUGAAGGCCUUCGGGUUGUAAAGUACUUUCAGCGAGGAGGCGGUACUCGCAGAGGAAGCAUCGGCUAACUCCGUGCCAGCAGCCGCGGUAAUAC